rnacentral:tRNA from 1 species
AGCACCGUAGAGUAGUGGUAAACUCGUUGGGCUCAUAACCCAAAGAUCGAACGGUUCAAAUCCUUCCGGUGCUA